UACAGAGGGUGCGAGCGUUAAUCGGAAUUACUGGGCGUAAAGCGUGCGUAGACGGUUAUUUAAGUCGGAUGUGAAAGCCCCGGGCUCAACCUGGGAAUUGCAUUCGAGACUGAAUAGCUAGGGUGCGGUAGAGGGAAGCGGAAUUUCCGGUGUAGCGGUGAAAUGCGUAGAUAAUCGGAAGGAACAUCAGUGGCGAAAGCGGCUUCCU
rnacentral:rRNA from 1 species